GAAAUGCGAUAAGUAAUGUGAAUUUCAGAAUUCAGUGAAUCAUCGAAUCUUUGAACGCACAUUGCGCCCCCUGGUAUUCCGGGGGGCAUGCCUGUUCGAGCGUCAUUUCACCACUCAAGCCUCGCUUGGUAUUGGGCGACGCGGUCCGCCGCGCGCCUCAAAUCGACCGGCUGGGUCUUUCGUCCCCUCAGCGUUGUGGAAACUAUUCGCUAAAGGGUGCCGCGGGAGGCCACGCCGUAAAACAACCCCAUUUCUAAGGUUGACCUCGGAUCAGGUAGGGAUACCCGCUGAACUUAAGC
rnacentral:misc_RNA from 1 species